rnacentral:rRNA from 1 species
GACGAACGCUGGCGGCGUGCCUAAUACAUGCAAGUCGAGCGGAACUGGGGGAGCUUGCUCCUUCCAGUUUAGCGGCGGACGGGUGAGUAACACGUGGGCAACCUGCCCUGCAGAUCGGGAUAACUCCGGGAAACCGGUGCUAAUACCGAAUAGUUUGGCGCCUCUCCUGAGGCGCUACGGAAAGACGGUUUCGGCUGUCACUGCAGGAUGGGCCCGCGGCGCAUUAGCUAGUUGGUGGGGUAACGGCCCACCAAGGCGACGCUGCGUAGCCGACCCGAGAGGGUGACCGGCCACACUGGGACUGAGACACGGCCCAGACUCCUACGGGAGGCAGCAGUAGGGAAUCUUCCGCAAUGGACGCAAGUCUGACGGAGGAACGCCGCGUGAGUGACGAAGGUUUUCGGAUCGUAAAACUCUGUUGUGAGGGAAGAACACGUACCAACUAACUAUUGGUACCUUGACGGUGCCUCACCAGAAAGCCACGGCUAACUACGUGCCAGCCGCCGCGGUAA